rnacentral:rRNA from 1 species
UACGUAGGCAGCAAGCGUUGUUCGGAAUUACUGGGCGUAAAGAGUGUGUAGGCGGUGCUCUAAGUCUGUCGUGAAAUCUCCCGGCUUAACUGGGAGGGUGCGGCGGAAACUGGAAUGCUAGAGGGUGGGAGAGGAAAGCGGAAUUCCUGGUGUAGCGGUGAAAUGCGUAGAUAUCAGGAGGAACACCGGUGGUGUAGACGGCUCUCUGGACCGUAACUGACGCUGAGACACGAAAAGCGUGGGUAGCAAACAGG